rnacentral:rRNA from 1 species
UACAGAGGUCUCAAGCGUUGUUCGGAUUCAUUGGGCGUAAAGGGUGCGUAGGUGGCGCGGUAAGUCGGGUGUGAAAUUUCGGAGCUUAACUCCGAAACUGCAUUCGAUACUGCCGUGCUUGAGGACUGGAGAGGAGACUGGAAUUUACGGUGUAGCAGUGAAAUGCGUAGAGAUCGUGAGGAAGACCAGUGGCGAAGGCGGAUCUCUGGACAGUUCCUGACGCUGAGGCGCGAAGGCCAGGGGAGCAAACGGGG